GUAGUUGGAUUUCUGGCGAACCGUUGCGGCCCGUUCCCAUUCACUUGGCCGGACGUACGCGAUCUGGAUCGAUUACUUUGAAAAAAUUAGAGUGUUUAAAGCAGGCUUAUGCUGUGAAUACAUUAGCAUGGAAUAAGUAAUGGUUGAUAGGGACAGUUGGGGGUUCUUGGAUUCGCGGAAGACUAACUACUGCGAAAGCAUUCACCAAGGAUGUCUUCUUCUGUCUCUUAUACACAUCUCCGAGCCCACGAGACGCUAA
rnacentral:rRNA from 1 species